rnacentral:rRNA from 1 species
CAGUCGUACUUGCGGAUAAUCAACCUUUAGAUGCGAUUUUGUGGAGCGCCAGGAGUUAAACGCCUUCAUGCCUGCAUAUUCGUAUACUUUGGGUGUACUUAUUCGUGUGGUAAGUUAACAUCAAUUCUGGUGAUCAUAAAAUGACUAGAGGAAUGUAGCUUCGAUCUCGUAUUGAAGUGUUAAGCCUUCGGUAGAUGUGAUGGAUCGGGGAUUGAGGAUUGCAACGGUUACCCUUCGGGGCUACCUGUCUGGUCUCUGAUUGUUGCUCUGGUGCUG